UUGGGAAUCUUGGACAAUGGGGGAAACCCUGAUCCAGCCAUGCCGCGUGAGUGAUGAAGGCCUUCGGGUUGUAAAACUCUUUCGCGCACGACGAUAAUGACGGUAGUGCGAGAAGAAGCUCCGGCUAACUUCGUGCCAGCAGCCGCGGUAAUACGAAGGGGGCUAGCGUUGUUCGGAAUUACUGGGCGUAAAGCGCGCGCAGGCGGUUCUCCAAGUCAGUGGUGAAAGCCCGGAGCUCAACUCCGGAACUGCCAUUGAAACUGUUGAACUUGAGGACGAGAGAGGUGAGUGGAAUUCCCAGUGUAGAGGUGAAAUUCGUAGAUAUUGGGAAGAACACCGGUGGCGAAGGCGGCUCACUGGCUCGUUUCUGACGCUCAGGCGCGACAGCGUGGGGAUCAAACAGG
rnacentral:rRNA from 1 species